rnacentral:rRNA from 1 species
GUGAACGCUGGCGGUAGGCCUAACACAUGCAAGUCGAACGACAGCACCGUAAGAGCUUGCUCUUACGGGUGGCGAGUGGCGGACGGGUGAGGAAUACAUCGGAAUCUACUUUUUCGUGGGGGAUAACGUAGGGAAACUUACGCUAAUACCGCAUACGACCUACGGGUGAAAGCAGGGGAUCUUCGGACCUUGCGCGAUUGAAUGAGCCGAUGUCGGAUUAGCUAGUUGGCGGGGUAAAGGCCCACCAAGGCGACGAUCCGUAGCUGGUCUGAGAGGAUGAUCAGCCACACUGGAACUGAGACACGGUCCAGACUCCUACGGGAGGCAGCAGUGGGGAAUAUUGGACAAUGGGCGCAAGCCUGAUCCAGCCAUACCGCGUGGGUGAAGAAGGCCUUCGGGUUGUAAAGCCCUUUUGUUGGGAAAGAAAAGCAGCAGGUUAAUACCCCGCUGUUCUGACGGUACCCAAAGAAUAAGCACCGGCUAACUUCGUG